UCUGGGUCUUUUCUGGUUCCAUACAAAUUUUAGGAUUGUUUGUUCUAGCUCUGUGAACAAUGCUAUUUUAAAUAACAAUGUUAUUUUAAUAGGCCCAUACUCUUUGUCACAGCCAUUGACUUGGCUAUGGACACUGACCUAGGCCAAAACCAAUCCUCUGGCUAUAGUAAUUAAUUAAUGGACAGGUACCUACCUAAGUUGGCCCAAUCAAAGUGAAGUUUAAGAACUUUGAAAGUUAGACAGAAAGAAGCCAUCCUUAUUUUACUGAAGUUGAAUUUAAAAAAAAAGGUGCAUACAUCUUAUUGCUGUAAGCAGCCACUUUGUAACCAUGAGAAGAAGUAAUCCUAGGAGGGUCUCAAUAUUAUGGAAAAUAGAGUGAAUAUAUGGAAAGAAACUUAUUCUUUGAUGACAGCCUUAAACUGCUGGAUCAGGCCUUACCUGAAACACUCCCUACCACAGACCUUUUGAGCUCUUGAGUUAAUAAAUUCUCUUUUUGUUUAACCAAAUGAGCUGGGUUUUACUUGUUUUUAGGUACACUUUAAUAGAUUAUCCAUAAAAAUGUGUACAGGGUCAGAAAACAAUGAUUAGAUGGACUUUAUACAUUCCCUUUGGUACUAAUUUCUCAUUGUGAAGAAAUAAAGUGGUAUUUCAAUUUGACACAUUAUUUUCUUCAGCUUGUUUAAUGUGAUGUAUGGAUUCUUCCCCAGGAGGCUGACAAAUUUUAAUUUCUGGCUUUGUCCUACAAGGGACCACAGUAAUACUGUCAAGGUAAGGAAUAGUAUAUUAAGGGGGUGUCUUGGGAGAAGACCUUAAUGACCAUAUAUGGUCUGCCUUGAAAGCUCUAUUUGAAUUUGAGCUUCCAUUUCAUCCCUUUGAACUUCUAUAGCCACUGGAAAUUCUUCUGAAUUUCUGUGAUUGCUCUAAAUUAGCGACCAAUACCAGCUGUGCUGUUUGGCUACUUGGUCUCUCACACUUGGUUCCCCAAUCCUGAGAGUCUCUUACCUUAGGUCCUGUUGCAUUCUCUAGUUACCAAAGGGUAGCCAAGUCUGCUUUCUACAAAGCUGUGAGCCCUUUGCACGUGGCCACAAUGGAAGUGAUAACAUCCAGCACAACGCCUAGUAUAUAGUGCGUUGACUCUGCAUCUGAGGGCCCCCCCAUCGUUCUGUCUUUGGCAGCCCUGAGAAGGUUAGAAGAUACCAAGUUCAGUGAAGGCUCAAACUUUUUCCCCAUCUUGUUAGACACUCUUCCCAGUUAUCCAGAGGUACUGGAUGAGAAUUUUUUUGUGUGGUAAAAUUGUGUGUUCUCAGUGUUUCCCCCCUUCCUACUCCCCUUAAAGAGAUCUGUGUAUCAUUUCCUCUUUUGCUGGCCCUGGGUAAAAAUAUACUACACAUAGAACAGGAGGGUUGUUUCCAAAUGGCGUACUCAUGAAACGUUUCUUUCUAAAAGGACUCAAGAUUAAAAAAAAAAAAAAAAGGUGGUACUGUAAUUAUACAGAAAAUCUGAGUGUUUUUUGCUUUUAACUUUACUCUAGAAGUUAAGGGCUCUUUGAAUGAAGGGAGAGUUGUGGAUGAAAUUCUGUUCAGCCUGCCUUUGGGAAAUGUUCAUGGACAUACGCUGCAUCAGUUGUAGCUAAAUGCAGAGAGGCUUGUCCUGUCAGCAUCAAGACAAGACAUACUUGGAAUUCCAGUCCAUAAACAUUUAAAUGUGAUCACUCUAAACCUAUUGUGGCCCUGACUUGUAUUUUCUCAUUUCUAGUGACGGGACCAUUUUUUAACAGAGCAUUCUGUGUGAACUGGUUGAAUGGAGUGCCAUGAAAGUCUUUAAUAAAUUAUAGGUGGAUUUAUGGGUUCUGCUCUGGGCCAAGAAGAUCCCUGGGAAGGCUAGAAUUUAUAUGCUGUGUGUGCACUUUAAGAGCUCCUGGUGGAUGGUGCAAAGGACAAGAUAAAAAUAAAGAAGGGAAGAUAAUGAGCAAACUCCUCUUUGUUGGCAAAAAUCUUUGUUUUUCUGCCUGCAAAGUUUUCUGUAACGUUUCCAUUGACCUAGAAGCUGUUGUGGUUUCUGGUGAGUUUCUGUGAAGGCCCUACUCUAUGUGGAGAAAGGCCAGCAAAAGAGCAAUUCCUGAUGCAUGGGAUGGAAUUGUCUCUUCUAUAGAAUCAAGUUGUAAAAUGAAUCUGGACAUUUGUCUGGGGGUGUCUUAACACUGGAAGCAGCUUUACGCAAGUAGGAAAGAAAUGGAACUAGUGAUCAAAGUGUAUUGAUAUUUUUAGGAUCUUGGUACAUAUUGCCAGUGUGAACCCAAGAGAGGUCACAGUAGUUAAUACACACACUAGCUGGGUCGGAGCACUCAGCAACAUUAUUACUACCUUUUACAUCUUUAUUAAUGUGGUAGACUGAAAAAGACGUUGAGCCCGAUUCAACAGUCUGCUUACUGUAUGGUUCUAUUUACGUGAUAUCCUGGAGAAGGAAAAGCCAUUGGGGGAAAAAAUGUUGGAUCAGAGUUUGGGUGUGAGAAGGAGUGACAGGAGAGAGAUUGGAGGGAAUUUCUUGGGGGUAAUGGAAAUGGUCCGUAUCUCGAUUUUGCUGGUGCUUUCAUGACUAUAUGUAUUUGUCAAGACUCACUGAACUAUACACUUGAAAAGGGUGAAUUUUACUGUACAUAAAUUAUACGUCAAUAAACCUGACUUUUAAAAAAUGA